rnacentral:rRNA from 1 species
UGCGUAGGCGGCUUUUUAAGUCGGAUGUGAAAUCCCUGAGCUUAACUUAGGAAUUGCAUUCGAUACUGGCAGGCUAGAGUGCGGUAGAGGGUGGUGGAAUUCCCGGUGUAGCGGUGAAAUGCGUAGAGAUCGGGAGGAACAUCCGUGGCGAAGGCGGCCACCUGGACCAGCACUGACGCUGAGGCACGAAAGCGUGGGGAGAAAACAGGAUUAGAUACCCCGGUA